UGAGGAAUAUUGGUCAAUGGGCGUGAGCCUGAACCAGCUAAGUAGCGUGCAGGAAGACGGCCCUAUGGGUUGUAAACUGCUUUUAUGCGGGUAUAAAGGAGUCCACGUGUGGAUUUUUGCAGGUACCGCAUGAAUAAGGACCGUCUAAUUCCGUGCCAGUAGCCGCGGUAAUACGGAAGGUUCGGGCGUUAUCCGGAUUUAUUGGGUUUAAAGGGAGCGUAGGCCGCGUUUUAAGCGUGUUGUGAAAUGUAGACGCCCAACGUCUGCAUCGCAGCGCGAACUGGGACGCUUGAGUACGCGCAACGUUGGCGGGAUUCGUCGUGUAGCGGUGAAAUGCUUAGAUAUGACGAGGAACUCCGAUUGCGAAGGCGGCUUACGGGAGCGCAACUGACGCUAAAGCUCGAAGGUGCGGGUAUCGAACAGG
rnacentral:rRNA from 1 species